GUUAGAAUUAACUAACCGAUAUUGAUAUAUUGUCAUGAAUUAAAGUGUUGGGUCUUUUUUCAUCAAAUUUCCUUAGAUUUUGCUUGCUGUCCUUUUGCUAUUCUAGCAUCCUAUCCAAGAUACUGCAUUACAUUAUUUAUUAUGCCUCUCCAGGCUCCUCUCUGCUGAUAUUGUUUCAGAAAAACCCGGGCCUAGUGCAUGCAAACUGGCCAUGAGAAGAUAGAAGUUCCUGGGAGAACAAAGCAAGAAGUGAAUUCAUUCAAGAUUGCACAAAAUGCCAUGAGGGACUAAUGGACAGAAAUGUGAUCUUUCAUGGCAGUGAUGCCAUUUCUCCUCUCCCAAGUGUCAUCCUACUUCCUCGGGCAACAUGGUGACUUCGACACCAAAAUAAGGGUUAAGAAACCAACCAACAGAUUGUUUGCAAUCCCACCAACUGAACCUACAUAUUUGAGUUUCCUACCUACCCAAAUGAGUAUUGGACUCAUGAGAACUGUGUUGAAAUUCCUUUUAUAGAGAUCUUGUUCCCAUACAUAUAAUUUUAAAGUGAGUUCACAGUAAAAUUGCUCCAUUUACUUCUAGAGUUUCAUUGCUGCAACGUCCACGUCCACUUGUCUUCCACCAUCUGCCCCAUCACUUUCCAAUAUAAAUGUGUGCCUGUUUUCCUAAUUACCAGCAACAGAGUGACUUGUGAAUUAGGAACACGAUACCUAAACUAGUCCUGUUGUUCAAAUGACAAUAAAGUUUCAGCCUGGUGUAAAUGGCGGCACGGCAAAUAUUUACAAACUUGAUUCUUCUACCUAUUGUAAUUCUCAAUAAUGAAACUGUUUUCCACACAAACAUGUUUAAAAGUCUAAAUGAGGAUAUAGGGAUAAGUGGGAAAAGUGCCUGUUUAUCUGCUGUAUAAUUCCCUUUUUUUUUUUUUUCUCUCUCUAAAAGGUAGGUCCGCUUGGAUUCAGAGAUACAACGAGGAAAUCAGGCUAGACUGAACAGUGAGCCAAGUCAUGGUACUGGAUUAUGUUGGGCAAAGGGCAAAGGGCAGCCCAAUUAAAUAACACAGUUUGUUAUGGAUCCCAGUGGUAAUAUGUGGCUCACUGAUGCCCACUCACCUUCGAGCGUCUGUCCUUGUUAAACUUGCCACUGCACUUUCAGCAAGUAGCGCUUUUGGACACAACUGUGAAGUGUGAGACUUAAGAAUAAAAGUGAUUUUUGUGCCUGAUUGACUCUUAGGGCAAAUGGAAAAUAAAUAAUUCUUAAGAACUCUAAUAGGAUUUACCGGUGGUUUUAGAUGUGCUAAAAGAUAAAGUAAUACGACAAGUAGCCACCAUGAGAGUUAAAGUGGGCUAACUAUGGUUAUGUAAUACAAAUGGGCUUGUGGAGUUGAAAGAUUUAUUUCUAAUUGAACAACAUUGGGCUUAUAUUCAUAAUGUUUAUUUAAUUUUACAUUUAAACUACUAAUGAAAUACUCUAAAUCUAAGAUGCUAAAAUUGUGUCAAAUUAGUACAAAUUCUGCUCGGCAUGGAAGAAAAUACUAUAAUUACUGAACAGUAGAAAUAUGACUGUUUGUAGUCCUUAGGCAUUACUACAAUUAAGACAUGACGUUUGUUAAGCUUUAAGAAUUAUUUGUUAGUAAUUCUUUUAAAAGAUUUAAAAAAUCCUUUUAAGGUUCAAGUUUGCCACAAAUCUUUUUUAUAUCGCUCAUAGUUCAAUAGAUUUGGUAUUGAAAAAGCUCUUUGAGGUCACUAUGUCCUGGUUCAUGACUCAGGAUCCAAGACUAAAUAUGAGUGAAUUCAAUUUUGACUUUGAUUUUAU
rnacentral:lncRNA from 1 species